rnacentral:rRNA from 1 species
AGAGAGAGACAUGCGUGCAUAUCAAUAAGCGGAGGAAAAGAAACUAACAAGGAUUCCCCUAGUAACGGCGAGUGAAGCGGGAAGAGCUCAAAUUUGAAAUCUUAAAGGGUUUCCCUUUACGAAUUGUAGUUUAAAGAAGUGUUUUCUGUUGAGGUUUUGGUAAAAGUUCUUUGGAAUAGGACAUCAUAGAGGGUGAGAAUCCCGUAUUUGACCUUUACUUUCAACUUUGUGAUACACUUUCAAAGAGUCGGAUUGUUUGGGAAUGCAGUCCAAAAUGGGUGGUAAAUUUCAUCUAAAGCUAAAUAUUGGCGAGAGACCGAUAGCGAACAAGUACCGUGAGGGAAAGAUGAAAGGAACUUUGAAAAGAGAGUUAAACAGUACGUGAAAUUGUCAAAAGGGAAGCGUUUGACACCAGUGUUGUUUUUCUGAAAAUCAAUUAAAGAACUGUUUAUGCUAAGUUGUUUAGACUUUAUCAGCUAUCUGUUUAGUUUUGAGCUUUUCUUUAAUGCACUUUUCAGUUAACAAGUCAACAUCAAUUUCUUUUGCUGUAAAAAAGCUUGAGGAAGGUGGCUUGAGAUUCGUCUUAAGUGUUUAUAGCCUCUUGCCUAUGCAGUCGGAGAGAUUGAGGUCUGCAGCGUAGAUCCUUCGGGGCUAAAUGCAUUUGUGCUAAGUUAUAGCAUUUUAUAGACAACUUGUUGACUAUGAUUUGUCUUGUAGCUUACUCGCUUAUGUUAUUUUACCUACGCUUAGGAUGUUGACGCAUGAGAUAUACGC